rnacentral:rRNA from 1 species
CUGCUCCUACGGGAGGCAGCAGUGAGGAAUAUUGGUCAAUGGGCGCUAGCCUGAACCAGCCAAGUCGCGUGAGGGAUGACGGUCCUAUGGAUUGUAAACCUCUUUUGUCGGGGAGCAAGGCCCGCCACGUGUGGCGGGAAGGAGAGUACCCGAAGAAAAAGCAUCGGCUAACUCCGUGCCAGCAGCCGCGGUAAUACGGAGGAUGCGAGCGUUAUCCGGAUUUAUUUGGUUUAAAGGGUGCGUAGGCGGCAGG